UAAGGGGUGUUACACAAAGCCACUCCCUUGUAGUCAACCAAACAUGUAGAUCAUGUUGUAUAUGGUACCCCCAAAGUUCGUUCCCAACUUGAUAUCUCAAGCACUUGUCUUUGGAUACCUAAGCAAAGAAAACCAAACAAAGUGAGAGAAACUCAAAUUAACAAGUGAAAAUCAGUUGUGCUAGUAUCUGAUCAUGUUAUACAGAAUUUAAGAGGCUAUGGUAAGUAAAUGGGGGAAUAGAAGUUUUAAGUACAGCAAGCUGGGUUUUUUAGUUCCCAUGAACCUCGCUCGUAGAAAGUACAUUCUUUAAGAUUUACAAACUAAAUGCAUCUUUGAGCCAGCUAGUUGUUAUAAAUCUGAAAUUUGCUCUCUCUUUGUUGCAAUUAUCUCUAAAAACUAGGUUCGUUCAAAAUAGUAAUGAAAAUAUCAAGAAAAAAAUAGUGGUACAAGAAGAACACGAGCUGAAAUCUCAGAAAAUAAAAGAAAAGGCCUUUAAAUUAAACCAUCACUAAUGCUGCUAACAUUUUUGCAAUGACUCCUUUAGAAGAAGAGUAGGAGCUUUUGCUCCUAAAUUUACUUUGAAACAUAUUCAACAAAUAAGCUAGAUUAACAAGAAUAUUUCUUGGACAGUUUGAUCAAGUAUGCUUAACUGAUUUUUAAUUAUUUUAAACUUAUUUUUUCACUCUAAUUCUUAAGUUUUUUUUUUGGGUCCACCUCAUGCUCUAAUGUUUUUAAUUGUUCACUGAUUGAAUCCUUUCAACGUUAAAAAAACAAUUAAAAUAUUCAACUAAUCAUAAAUUGCUAUGUGUUAGAUUGUGAUAUCAUUACGAGAAAAAAAAAAUUAAGUUUUUUAAAAAUAUUUAAAAAAUGUAAAAAGUACUAAAAAAUUAAGUUCCCGAAUAAUUGUUGCUUGUGGCUAAGAAUUUUUCCUGGGUUACUAAUUGUUGGAAACAGCACGACAUCAAAACAAAGUCUAGCCUGGUUGGACUUCAACUCUUCCCGAAGGUCGAAUGAUGCAAAUGAGCAGUAAGAUCCUAGGGCUGUUGGAUGGAUGAAUGUAAUAUUAUAUAUAUUUGGUAUUACAGUUUAAAAUUAGUUAUGUUGGAAUUAAAGAUGGUAUUUAAAAUAAUAAUAUUCUAAAAUUCAAAAUUAGUAAAUGUAAAAACUCCAUGCAAAAAAUAAGAUAGAUGGCUAUGGAAGAGGAAGACUAGCAAUGUUUAUGAUAUCUCAUUAACAUGCACUGUGUAAUUAUGUAAAUAAUGAUAUGUAAUGUAAAUCCUUG
rnacentral:lncRNA from 1 species